UACAGAGGUCCCAAGCGUUGUUCGGAUUUACUGGGCGUAAAGAGCGCGCAGGCGGUCGUUCAAGUCGCGUGUGAAAGCCCCCGGCUCAACUGGGGAGGGUCACGCGAUACUGAUCGACUCGAAGGCAGGAGAGGGUAGUGGAAUUCCCGGUGUAGUGGUGAAAUGCGUAGAUAUCGGGAGGAACACCAGUGGCGAAGGCGACUACCUGGCCUGUUCUUGACGCUGAGGCGCGAAAGCUAGGGGAGCAAACAGGG
rnacentral:rRNA from 1 species